rnacentral:rRNA from 4 species
GAGCGCAACCCUUAUCCUUUGUUGCCAGCGGUCCGGCCGGGAACUCAAAGGAGACUGCCAGUGAUAAACUGGAGGAAGGUGGGGAUGACGUCAAGUCAUCAUGGCCCUUACGACCAGGGCUACACACGUGCUACAAUGGCGCAUACAAAGAGAAGCGACCUCGCGAGAGCAAGCGGACCUCAUAAAGUGCGUCGUAGUCCGGAUUGGAGUCUGCAACUCGACUCCAUGAAGUCGGAAUCGCUAGUAAUCGUGGAUCAGAAUGCCACGGUGAAUACGUUCCCGGGCCUUGUACACACCGCCCGUCACACCAUGGGAGUGGGUUGCAAAAGAAGUAGGUAGCUUAACCUUCGGGAGGGCGCUUACCACUUUGUGAUUCAUGACUGGGGUGAAGUCGUAACAAGGUAACCGUAGGGGAACCUGC